UACGGAGGAUGCGAGCGUUAUCCGGAUUUAUUGGGUUUAAAGGGUGCGUAGGUGGUGAUUUAAGUCAGCGGUGAAAGUUUGUGGCUCAACCAUAAAAUUGCCGUUGAAACUGGGUUACUUGAGUGUGUUUGAGGUAGGCGGAAUGCGUGGUGUAGCGGUGAAAUGCAUAGAUAUCACGCAGAACUCCGAUUGCGAAGGCAGCUUACUAAGCCAUAACUGACACUGAAGCACGAAAGCGUGGGGAUCAAACAGG
rnacentral:rRNA from 1 species